GCUCACAUCUCUUUCUGUCAGC
rnacentral:miRNA from 1 species